UACGUAGGGGGCAAGCGUUGUCCGGAUUUAUUGGGCGUAAAGCGCGUGUAGGCGGCCACACAGGUCCGUUGUGAAAACUGGAGGCUCAACUUCCAGACGUCGACGGAAACCGUGUGGCUAGAGUCCGGAAGAGGAGAGUGGAAUUCCUGGUGUAGCGGUGGAAUGCGCAGAUAUCAGGAAGAACACCAACGGCGAAGGCAGCUCGCUGGGACGGUACUGACGCUGAGACGCGAAAGCGUGGGGAGCGAACAGG
rnacentral:rRNA from 1 species